rnacentral:rRNA from 1 species
GACGAACGCUGGCGGCGUGCUUAACACAUGCAAGUCGAACGGAAAGGCCCUGCUUUUGUGGGGUGCUCGAGUGGCGAACGGGUGAGUAACACGUGAGUAACCUGCCCUUGACUUUGGGAUAACUUCAGGAAACUGGGGCUAAUACCGGAUAGGAGCUCCUGCUGCAUGGUGGGGGUUGGAAAGUUUCGGCGGUUGGGGAUGGACUCGCGGCUUAUCAGCUUGUUGGUGGGGUAGUGGCUUACCAAGGCUUUGACGGGUAGCCGGCCUGAGAGGGUGACCGGCCACAUUGGGACUGAGAUACGGCCCAGACUCCUACGGGAGGCAGCAGUGGGGAAUAUUGCACAAUGGGCGGAAGCCUGAUGCAGCAACGCCGCGUGCGGGAUGACGGCCUUCGGGUUGUAAACCGCUUUCGCCUGUGACGAAGCGUGAGUGACGGUAAUGGGUAAAGAAGCACCGGCUAACUACGUGCCAGCAGCCGCGGUGAUACGUAGGGUGCGAGCGUUGUCCGGAUUUAUUGGGCGUAAAGGGCUCGUAGGUGGUUGAUCGCGUCGGAAGUGUAAUCUUGGGGCUUAACCCUGAGCGUGCUUUCGAUACGGGUUGACUUGAGGAAGGUAGGGGAGAAUGGAAUUCCUGGUGGAGCGGUGGAAUGCGCAGAUAUCAGGAGGAACACCAGUGGCGAAGGCGGUUCUCUGGGCCUUUCCUGACGCUGAGGAGCGAAAGCGUGGGGAGCGAACAGGCUUAGAUAUCCUGGUAGUCCACGCUGUAAACGGUGGGUACUAGGUGUGGGGUCCAUUCCACGGGUUCCGUGCCGUAGCUAACGCUUUAAGUACCCCGCCUGGGGAGUACGGCCGCAAGGCUAAAACUCAAAGGAAUUGACGGGGCCCCGCACAAGCGGCGGAGCAUGCGGAUUAAUUCGAUGCAACGCGUAGAACCUUACCUGGGUUUGACAUGGAUCGGGAGUGCUCAGAGAUGGGUGUGCCUCUUUUGGGGUCGGUUCACAGGUGGUGCAUGGCUGUCGUCAGCUCGUGUCGUGAGAUGUUGGGUUAAGUCCCGCAACGAGCGCAACCCUUGUUCACUGUUGCCAGCACGUUAUGGUGGGGACUCAGUGGAGACCGCCGGGGUCAACUCGGAGGAAGGUGGGGAUGACGUCAAGUCAUCAUGCCCCUUAUGUCCAGGGCUUCACGCAUGCUACAAUGGCUGGUACAGAGAGUGGCGAGCCUGUGAGGGUGAGCGAAUCUCGGAAAGCCGGUCUCAGUUCGGAUUGGGGUCUGCAACUCGACCUCAUGAAGUCGGAGUCGCUAGUAAUCGCAGAUCAGCAACGCUGCGGUGAAUACGUUCCCGGG